UCUGACUGAAGGUCUGUAGUGGAGUUUGGCGAGGGAAACCUCAGGUCCCUUUUUGCCCUUAACUCCAGUUUUCUGAGUUCAGACAACAAGCUUUGGAAGCUGAAGGUGAAGGGAUCUCUGGUUUACUACAUCGGUACUCGGCCAAUGUAAUUGAGGCAACCAAGUUUCCCCUGGAUGCAGCUGGUUGAGGAGAUCAAAACUGAGAGAAGAAAGCAGACAUGAGUAACUCUAAAUGUCAAAAUGGAUCACUGCUCCCUCAGGACUGGUUCAUCACCAAUAUAGUCAACUCAGACAAAUGCUAAACAGAAUGAAGUGGAUCCUCCUCUUGCUCGAUAGCAAUAACUGCACACAAUAACUGCACCCUCCUAAAUUACACACAGAAAUUAACAACACUGGGAACCGUGCAAAGAUAUGGAUACAUCAUGCGUAGCAAACAAGCCUAAUCUUUCAAGUGCAUGCGUCUCUUCUGGAGGAGCACUGACUACUAUCUGCAAAAUACAUAAGUCAGAUGAUGGACAGCCAUCUGUCAGGGACCCUGUAGCCAUUUCCUGCACUGAGCAAGAUGCUGAAUGAAGUCUUCCAAGAUCCCUUCCAACUCUCCCAUUCUGAGAGUCAUUAUUCCAGCUGGCAGCAGCUUUUCAGGAUCUCAGGGGACAAAGGUCUUCUCCAGUCCUGUUACCUAAUAUCUUUUUUACUGAAGAUGCUGAGAACAUAACAUCGGAUAUUCUUCAUUCAAAGCAUGUGCUCUACUAUUGAGCUAUGUCAUCUUCAAAGCUGUACUUGUUGCGCAUUUUCAGUUUUUCAUAUUACCCUACUGAUAUGGUUGGAAAAUAAGAGUUCAAUGGAGCCUUGUCCAUAAAAAAUGUGGUUUACUAUUAGAUCUGCAAUAUUCUGCAUUCCAUAUUUAAAUAGCGCUACUUUCAAAUUUAUUGCAAUGUGCCUUACACCAGGUUUUUUUUAGCCCUGUCUUUAUCUGUA